AGCUAAUGAUGUGAAAUAAAACUGGUUUGAAGUAAUGAUGUAUAUGAAAAAUAUGAAUACUAUAUCUCUAUAAUUUUACCUCAAUAUCAUCAGUACUUGUCACAUCUGGAUUUUGGAAUAAUAAUCUUGCUUGCUGAUAAUUCCAAUCUUCUGGCAUUUUUCUAGCUUCACUGAAAGUUAAACGACGCAAUAAAACAUCACACCCAAAAGUAAGGGCAUCCAUAUCUUCUGUCGCGGUUGCAUAAACUUUUCCAGCUUUUACCAAAGCUGCACACUGAGCUUCAGCUUCGCAUGGAGCCUUCCAAUAAAAAGAUUGUACCAAUAAGGAUCUUAUUUGUAUUUAUAAAUAAACGUCAAUUUACUUACAUCAA